GGGCCGGUAGCUCAUUUGGUAGAGCAUCGCGUUUGCAUCGCGAGGGUGGGGGGUUCGAAUCCUCUCCGGUCCA
rnacentral:tRNA from 2 species